UUACUGCUGACGCGGCUCCUACUCCCUCACUUGAUACUACUACUACUACUACUACUACUACUACUACUACUUCUACUACUACUACUACUUUUUCUCUAUUUAAUCUACUGCUGUGUUUACUUGUGCUACGACUAUAUGUUUUUUGUUUAUGCUCCUAUUUCUACUAUUGCUACUACUAACACUGUUUUACUACUACUACUACCGCUAUUUACGUUUCUGUUUCUACUACUAACACUAGUUGUAAUAAUUCUGCCACUUCUAACUUUACUACCUCUGCUUCUGCUGCUUUUGCUUCUGCCAACAUUACUUCCUCUACAUCUUCUGCUUCUACUUUUUCAUCUUGUGUCUUCUUCAUUAUUUUUUUCGGCUAAUCUUCAGUUCUUAAUUGUUGUUGAUGUUGUUAUUGUUUGUUUUCUGUUCGUUGCCAUUCUCUCUCUCUCUCUCUCUCUCUCUCUCUCUCUCUCUCUCUCUCUCUCUCUCUCUCUCUCUCUCUCUCUCUCUCUCUCUCUCUCUCCUGUAUUAAGUUGUUUCUUUCAGUUAUCUUUUCAAUGUGUUUCUUUCGCGUGUGUCUGUGUGAUCCGUCUGUGUCUGUCUGUUGCGCUUGAUCGGUCUUUGUGGCUGUUCUUACUUUUUGUCUUUCUGUCUGUCUCUCUGUUGAUCAAUGCUUCAAAUUAUCUAUUCCUCGUUUUUGUCUGUCUGUCUGUCUCAUUGUUAUUGUCUGUCUUUCUGUCUGUUCCCCUUGGCUUCCACCUGUCUAUCUGUCGUUUAGUCUGUUGGUCUAGUUGUCUUCUGUCUGUUCCCCUUGGCUUCAUCAUUUUGUCUGUCUGUCUGUUUAUCUAUUGUUGUCUUCGUCUGUGGGCUUAACCUUUACUAUCUUCCUUUUUAUCGUGUAUCUCUUCCUUAACCCAUUUAUUGAUCCUUCUUCUUAUGUAUUUAUCUAUCUAUCUAUCUAUUCUUAUUUCCUCCCCCUGCAUGUUCUUUCACUAGACUCUUCGUUAGCACUCUAAAGCCUAACGCACUUUUUUUCACUUUCCUCCUAUAUAUAUUUACAUUUGUAUCUAUAUUGGCAUUACCUAUUAUUAUUAUUCUCAUUUGUAUAUGCUGAUGUUGGGUGGAGAUGAUGGUGGUGAUGAUGGUGAUGGUUAGGUGUGUGUGUGUGUGUGUGUGUGUGUGUGUGUGUGUGUGUGUGUGUGUUAUUAGGUUCUGGUGGUGAUGAGUGAGCGUUUAUUUAAAUAGGUGAUGUCGAGGAAGGAAGAGGAUGGUGAUGGUGGUGAUGGUGAAGUAGGAAGUGGUGGUAAUGAAUUUUUGGGAUGAUAGAUUGUAGUGGUAUUAGUGGUAGUGAUGAUAAUGGUGGUGGUGGUGGUUUGUAAGUAAUGGUGGUGGUUGGUCAGUUUAUUCUUCUCCCAGUCAGUCAGUCAGUCAGUCAAUAGUUCAUUCAAUCAGUUAGUCUGUCUUUCACUCAGUCAGUCAGUUGGUCAGUUAAUCCAUCUAUCUCACUCACUUAGUCAGUCAGUUAGUUAAUCUGUCUAUUUGUCAGUCAGUCGGUCAGUCAGUAAGUUAGUCGAUAGGUCAGCCAGCCAGUCAGUUAGUCGAUAGGUCAGCCAGUCAGUCAGUUGGUCAAUAGGUCAGUCAGUUAGUCAAUAGGUCAGUCAGUCAGUCAGUUAGUCGAUAGGUCAGUCAGUUAGUCGAUAGGUCAGCCAGUCAGUCAGUUGGUCAAUAGGUCAGUCAGUUAGUUGAUAGGUCAGUCAGUUAGUCGAUAGGUCAGCCAGUCAGUCAGUUAGUCGGUAUGUAUUAGUCCAUGUCAGUAGGUCAGUCAGUCAGUCACUCAGUCAAUUAUAUUUUUUGUGAUUAUGUCGAUAUUGAUAGGUUCUUGUGUGUGUGUGUGUGUGUGUGUGUGUGUGUGUGUGUGUGUGUGUGUGUGUGUGUGUCGCUCCAGACUUGAUUGCGCUCACUGAUUUACCUACGGUGCGGCCCGACCCAGCCUCUCUUGUGGUGGUGUUGACGAGAAGAAAGGAGAGAAAAAAAAAGAA